ACAUCACAAAAAAAUGAAACUUAAAAAAUAUGGGACUAUAGUUCAAAUUUUAUCCUCAUUUAUUUACCAGUAUUAUUUACUUUCCAGAGAAGGGAAGAUGAUCUUUAGUAUUUAUGCAUAAGUUGCAUUAAACAACAUGAAAAGGUAUAUUUAUAGAGCCUCUAAAUUGGUGGGCACAAGUUGCAUUAAACAAACCAUCUUUUUCUUUUUUCUGUGUAGUCUGAGUACAUCGCAACAAAAUUUUACUUUUAAGAGAAAAGAGGAUGCAAGAUGAGAGAAAGACAUUACCAUUAAAAAAUAAAAAUAAAAAU